rnacentral:rRNA from 1 species
UCGGAUUGCAGGCUGCAACCCGCCUGCAUGAAGCCGGAAUCGCUAGUAAUCGCGGAUCAGAAUGCCGCGGUGAAUACGUUCCCGGGUCUUGUACACACCGCCCGUCACACCAUGGGAGCCGGGAAUGCCCGAAGUCAGUGGCCCAACCGAAAGGGGGGAGCUGCCGAAGGCAGGCCUGGUGACUGGGGUGAAGUCGUAACAAGGUAGC